UACCAUCAUACUUUUAUCAUGUUAAAGAUCAGUAGUAAAAAUGGUCUGUUUAAUCCGUAUAUAUCUUAUUUUCUUUGUAUAUUUCAGGGAAUUAGUUGAUUAGUUCCCCCAGGAACAAGCUAAUGAGACACCCUUUUCUCUAACAGCACCAGUCCACAUAUUCUCAAUCUUUCUCCUCUGCUCUCAGCUUCGCGGGUCCUUAUGAAUGGCUUAGUUAUAAAGAGGCGUAUGAUUCAACGCUUCAAAUCGGCUCAGCUAUUAGGAAAUGUGGAGUUAAUCCCGUAUUUCCAGCCAAGUAGAUUGUGCUAUCAAGAUACUCAACCUAGAGAUUAAGUUGGAUUCCGUAGUUUGUAUAAUAAAAGAUCAUAAAGAGCUGGAGAAAUAUGUUUAGUUACUUUGGUACUAAGAUUUUGAUUUUUAAUCAUGCAAGCGAUGUAGAUUUUGAUUUAGAAUUUUUUAAAUAGGGACGAUUAAUUUUUCUUUAGAUGAACUUUGCGAACAUUUUUUCUU